GUUGGUGAUGGAUAAAAUGGUGUUAAGGGACAGCAGAACUCUCAGGUGCUAAGAGCAAAGCCCAAAAGAGACAGAGGUGGAUCCUAGCUUGUCUUCCUCCUGUGAGAAUGGCAACAGACUCCACAGUUUCAGUGUCAGAAGAGACAGAUAUUUCCUAUUGAUCAGCACUGUUUUCAGACAUGGGGGGCUGUUUUCACCUUCAAGCAAAUAGAAAGACAGACCGGAAGGGGCUGCUAAAUGUGAAGAAAAAAGCACUAACUUCCUGCAGAACCAUCAGUUUGUCAGUUUGGAAAAGAGGUAAUUUUGCCUGAAUCUAUCCAAAUAGCCUGAAAAGGUACUUUAUACUCUGACAUUCUCUUGUUCUAAUUCAUUCAGUUGACCUAGGAAAUAUAAUAAAGAAACCAGUCAAGGAUGCCUUCCUUUGUAA
rnacentral:lncRNA from 1 species